UCAAGGUUCCUGAAUAAACUGCUUGGAGAAGAGCCUGGUGUUGAGUCUUCCUUGCUGGUCGAGGCGGACGCGACAAGAGUGUUCAGUAAUGGCUGGGGACAACUGGGUCUACUUAGGACUGUGGAGAGCUGGAAGGAAGUACCUCUAGUUAAUGGAAUCUUUAUUCAUUAACUCCAGACAACUGAGACCAACUAGAAUUGAAAAGCAGGGGUUAUCAAAUUUUGCCACAUUUUUAAAGAAAAUCUCCAGACCUGGAAAUCUAUGUAAAGUUUAAAAGGCUCUUUGGUAAGACAAACUUACAGAAUAAUUUAAACAAGCUA